rnacentral:rRNA from 1 species
CUCAGGAUGAACGCUGGCGGCGUGCCUAAUACAUGCAAGUCGAGCGAACGGACGAGAAGCUUGCUUCUCUGAUGUUAGCGGCGGACGGGUGAGUAACACGUGGAUAACCUACCUAUAAGACUGGGAUAACUUCGGGAAACCGGAGCUAAUACCGGAUAAUAUUUUGAACCGCAUGGUUCAAAAGUGAAAGACGGUCUUGCUGUCACUUAUAGAUGGAUCCGCGCUGCAUUAGCUAGUUGGUAAGGUAACGGCUUACCAAGGCAACGAUGCAUAGCCGACCUGAGA